AGUCCUCAGCCAGAUUCUUCCAGAAUCACCUUGAUAAAAGAAGUAUUGAAAUCAAGCACAGCAGGUUGGACUAUAGGGAAAUUGGCAGCAUAUUUCUUCAAGUGUGAUUUUACUUUCUUCCUGAGCAUGGCCAUCUGACCUUCUUAUUUCUGGGCUUGGCUCUAGACCCAGGACAGCGGAUGUUUAUGAGCAUUCCUUUAAAUGAAAGUGCUUAGGUUGUAGCUAUGGCUUUGUCUAGAAUAGCGAUAUCAACUGUGAGUGUAGGUCUAUCACAAAAAAAAAUUUUAACUUUCCAGAUAUAGAAGGAUGCUACCUUGCAUAGAUUUGCUCAUUAAAUAUAAAUUGCAAAAAUAAAAAUAGCACAAAGAACACCUAUACUUUGCUUAUUGAAAGAUUUGCUCACUGAAGAAGGAAAGUUGUCAUUUACCUAUGUAACAAAUCUGCACAUCCUGCACACUUUCCA